UACGUAGGGGGGCAAGCGUUGUCCGGAAUUAUUGGGCGUAAAGGGCGCGUAGGCGGCCUGACAAGUGGAAGGUGAAAUCCCUCGGCUUAACCGAGGAACUGCCCUCCAAACUGUUUGGCUUGAGACCGGGAGAGGUGAGUGGAAUUCCCAGUGUAGCGGUGAAAUGCGUAGAUAUUGGGAGGAACACCAGUGGCGAAGGCGGCUCACUGGACCGGUACUGGACGCUGAGGCGCGAAAGCGUGGGGAGCAAACGGG
rnacentral:rRNA from 1 species